rnacentral:rRNA from 1 species
ACAGAGGGUUGCAAAGCCGUAAGGUGGAGCUAAUCCCUUAAAGCUACUCUCAGUUCGGAUUGAAGGCUGAAACUCGCCUACAUGAAGCUGGAGUUACUAGUAAUCGCAGAUCAGAAUGCUGCGGUGAAUGCGUUCCCGGGUCUUGUACACACCGCCCGUCACACCACGGGAGUUGGAGACGCCCGAAGCCGAUUAUCUAACCUUUUGGAAGAAGUCGUCGAAGGUGGAAUCAAUAACUGGGGUGAAGUCGUAACAAGGUAGCCGUAUCGGAAGGUGCGGCUGGAUCACCUCCUUUCUAAGGAGA